AUAGCAGCAUUCCAAUGGUUGGAUACUUCGUUUGGAACGAAGAGGUUGCAGGUUCGAGUCCUGCCUGCUAUACGA
rnacentral:tRNA from 1 species